UCAAGAGGAGAUCUUCCGCUUUCCCAAGAGGAGAGCUUCUGAGGGCCGGGCUGAUUCCCCGUCUUUUCCUGCUGUGUAGGACACACACCGCUGCUGGGUUAUUGUUCUGUUUUGAAGCACCUCCAAGAUAAGACUCGCCAGAGAGCCUCCAGCCAACCCUCCAAGACCACAGAGCCAGUUAGGGUGCCGCCUGCCCUCAGGGCGAGCUGCCUUCUCGCCUCCCUCGUCCAAGCCCUGGACGGAGUGGAUUUCCACACACGUGGUCUGUUUUAAAGAAGGCAUGUCGAACCCUGGCAAAAUACUAGAAGCUGUGACUGCCGUUUUUACCCCCCGGGGUGGGGGUGCCCUGGUCACCGUAUGUCCUUUAUAUAAAAGUCUAUAUACAGGGAGUAGACGAAGUCGGUGUUUUCUCACCACGUGUCCCUUCUCCCCUUACUUUCUCCAGAAACAAACCUGAACCUGCCGCCCUCGGGAGGUUUCUAGUUCCCUAAUCAGCCGCGGGCGGAGGAAGGAGCUCUGGAGUUUGAGGUCAGACAAGCCACACUGAGUGGCCAUGGGCGGAUCCCGAGACCCGGGGCCUCGAGCACAUUAGCAUCUAAGUCCCUUUGCACCUCAGUCUCCUGACCUGAGAAAUGGGGCAGGGAAAGGAGGCCACACGGCCCUCCGAGCGCCUCCUCCUCAGGUCAGCUCCACGCACACUUAGGGAGUGCUCCCGGGGGCCAGCUGCUGGAGACACCCAGCCCAUUCUCCUGCCAGUAAGUCAGGUCAGACUAUGCAAUGCUGACACAGCCCCCCAGGAUCCCGUGAGCCUGCGCAAGACCAGCCUUCUUAUGCUAGAUUCUCACCCCGGGAUAUGUGCACGCCUGCCCUUCCCAGUACGUCCUUGGGCGGAUAAAAGGGACACUUUUGCUCACUCGAAGGUCAGUCACUUACGCUGAACGUCAGCGCGCUACCCUGAGGGGAGGAACAGACCACACCCCCUAAUUUCAAGGUGCUCAGUUUCUUAGAGAGACAGCCAGGCAAACGUCAAACCACAGUGAGCGGCAACAGAGUGUAUCAGGGUGCUAAGGGUGGGAGAGACGGUGUCUGGCUCCCAGGGAGGGCACGGAGGGUGGCACACGGGAGCUGGAGGUGACCCGAGUUUGCCAUGUGGCCAGAGGGGGAGGGCGCUGGGUGUUAGCGGAGGGUGCCUGGGGGACAUCUUGUGUGGGGCAUGGGAAUCUCUGGGACAACCCAGUGGAGCAGGAGGGCCAGGGCAGGGUCAUGGAAGGCGGCAUCUGCACUUUCUCCCUGUGGCGAGCAAGACACCGGGGCGCAGCUAUGGAGCCCCCCAUGAUGUGCCACAGAUCGGCCCCACAGCGACUCCAACAGCGGGGCUGAAAAGGUCACCGAGCGGGCCGGGACACCAAGCAUCCAGCGGCUACGCAGCCAGUCAAGGGCACGCACACGCUGAGGAGGCACGUGGAAAUGAAACGGGGCUCGGAGGAGCGACCCAGCCCUGCCGGCAGAGGUAUGAGCGCACAGGAAGUUGAAAGCGCCUUAUAUAAGGACGCCGUCGCCGCCCAUGACAGCCGUGAGGGUGGGGGACGCUGACUGCCCACCUUGGCCAGGACACAGGAAUUACGUCAUUCAACCGAGCUUUCAACCCUAUUAAGUACUGUUAUCUUCCCCACCUUAGAGGUGAGGGGAUCGGCACAGGGUAGUUACCUAACACCCACUACGAGAUGAGACGGUGACCGCGGGGCACGUGAAGGACCACGGUCCCCCGCGGCCCGCCCACGGUCAGGUCACAGCUCCCCUGCGGGGGAGCAGGGGGCUCGUGGCCCAUCUGCGCAAGAACCACAUGCUGAUGCGUCUGGGCCACUCGCACCUAGAAGAUGGCCUUCAGAUUCCCACGGUGCCGGAAUAGACAAGAGGCACCAAGGUGGGGCCCUGAUCCGAUAGGACAAGCGUCCUUAUAAGGAGAGACACCAGAGAUCGAUCUCUCUCUCUCUCCCUCCCCAUGGGCUCACACCAAGGACGCAGCAAAGGAACCAACCUCCUGGCAACUUGACCUUGGACUUCCAGCUUCCAGAACUGCGGGAGAUAAAUGGCUGCUGUCCACCUCCAGCACCCUGCGGGCACACCUCAGCCCAAGCCGAGCCACCUCCAGCCCCUCGCUCUCUCUCCCGCUGCUCUCGUCCUUCAACAUCCGGACAGGGGCCGGCUCCUGCAAGCCCGCCGACCACGCCUCCUCCUCCUGGCCUCAGGCACGCACCUGUUCCCC